AUCAGCCUAACAUAAGCUGCUUUAUUUUGAGUGGACGAAGAAGGUAUAAAUAGACUCUGAAUAGUGCAACAAGUAAAUGCUUCAUGUGAAAUGGCUGGCGUUACAUCAUUGCCUGUGAGAGUGAAGUUCUGGAGAGGCACUGGGCUCUUUGGGCCAGUAAUUAUGCUGAGAAAGCUGACAACAUGAAGGAGAAGCCACUUGAAGAUGGAGACAUACAAGGGAUAGGAGGAAACAAGCUAAAGAAGACAAAAGUCUCCAUCAUCCUGUCCGUCUUAUUCAUCAUCCAAUCACCUUCCGACGCCUCGGUUUUAAAGGACC